GCCACGGAGCGCGCAGCCUUCCCUGAUGUGUCACCAGCACGUGGAGCCAAGUCGCGCCGAGAGAGCCAACGAGAGGAACCCCGCAACUUUCGAGGGGCCCUGCUGCAGCGCACACGUCCUCCCCGGCGCGGCGGGGGUCCCGCGGCGGUCCCCAGGUCCCUGUGCAGGUCUAGAGAGGCCGCGGAUCCUCGGCCAGGCACGCACGGAGCUACGGGAACAUCGGGGCGCGCGGGCCGGGCUGCGGCCACCGUGCGGGAGGAAGCAGCUUGGGUUCCGAGGCGCCGCGGUUCGGUCCCGCCUCGCCGGGCUGGGCGCAGGAUCUCGUGUAGCCAAGAUUGGCUUUAAACUCCUGGUCCUUCUGCCUCUGCCUCCUAAGUACUGAGAUUGUAGAUAGUCAAGCUACUACCCUGGGCCUUUCCAACAUUUUGUGACAUGCUCCUCUUCCCUACCACUACCAAGCCACAGAGAUGUCACCAAAAGUCAAAGCCAGCUGAGGCUGGACUGGUGGCUUGUCCUCGGAUGGACAGAUGAAUGAGCAGUAAGCAUCAUGGGGCCUGCUACAGCAAGUCACCCAGUAUCUCGAGGACCUCACGUCAGCAGGGGACAGUCAUCUUCAAGAUGUCUUCAGGAGCCAGCUUGGAAGCACUCAUCAGCGACAAGAUGGUGUGGGUGCUUGGUGUACGCUGGACCACCAUGACUGUCCCGCCAGCCCUGGGUCUGUGGACUCUGUGCCUCCAGCUCCGCUAGAGAUGGGUUUGUUCAGGAGCUAACUGCUGGCAUCUCACCGGGUAAAGGCUAGACAGGAUUUGCUCUUGCUGGUGAGAGAUGAGUGAGACUCUCACACUUGGGAUGGACGGGUGACAGCUGUUCCUUCAGCUCUAACAGCUUUGCUGGCUUUUGCUAACUUCGGUCACCACCUACCUCCCCUGGAGCCUCUUUGCCGGUCCCUGCCCCAAACCUCCUCGUUCCCUCCCAUGGUCCCCAUUCUUUACCACAGUGCAGGGCUGGGGAGAUGCUUGUCUUGUCGCGGGUCCCAUCCUGAACACGCGGCGGCUCACCUGUGAGCUCACAUGGAGAGGCAGAGACGGUUCUGUGCGACCAGCCAGCCACCUGGUCUAGCCAAAUCCAGGUUCAGUGAGAGACCCUGUCAAAGAAUAAGGUGGAGAGCGAUUGAGGAAGGCACCCUGAGGUGGGCCUCUGGCCUCCACACACAUGAGCACGAACAUACACACACAAAGACAACAUACAUCAGGUGGGUUUUUUGUUGUUUGUUUUUUCAAGAGAGGGUCUCACUGUGUAGACCAGGCUGGCCUCCAACUCACAGGGAUCCACCUGCCUCUGCUUCCCAAGUGCGUUCAAAUACCAUAGAGCAUUUGAAAACACGAGACUUGCUCUCAAAUGCUGUCGGGCAUGCAUCGAAGGGAGGAACAGGGCUCAUAAUGCCCGUGCCUGACUUGUCUGUUGUGAGCCCUGUCUUCACACCUUCCUUCUGGCCCCACCCCGUUAACAGGAUGGGGACUUUCAUCGGUGGGGGAGGGGCACAUGCUGUGGGGCACCCAUGGGGGUCAGAGGACUACCUGUAGGUCUCCAGGGAUCAAACUUAGGCCAUCAGGCUUGGUGGUCAGUGCCUUUACUUGCCGAACCAUCUUGCUGGCGCCUUUUAAAAGUGUAUUGCUGUUUCUCUUUUCUUCUUCAUAGGGGUUCCUGGGAUUGAGCUCAGGUUUGUCAACCUUACAGGGCAAGCACCUGUGAGCCAGAGAGGGCCGUUUUAUGGGAGCCAGGCCUCUCACCCAGUGAGCCACAGGGCUGUGCCUUCAGGAGCCCGGAUUUCUUUUUCUUUCUUUUCUUUUUCCUCAAGGAGGAGGUGGCUAUGCAGGGCCACUGCUGCCUUCCAGCCAGGAACUCGGGAGAUCUUGCGAUCUUGCUGGAGGGAAUCUGAGGUGAGGUCCUCAGUGACGAUGUCCUUGACAUGAUAGCUGUCAGGGCUUUUUGACCCUUGAAUCACUUAAGGCAGUGGUUCUCAACCUUCCUCAUGCUGUGACCCUUCAAUACAGUUCCCCAUGUUGGGGUGACGCCCCCCCCCCACCAUAAAAUGUUUUCGUUGCUACUUCAUAACUGUCAUUUUGCUACUGUAAAUACACAGGGUAUCUGAUAUGGGACCCCCAAAGGGGUUGUAACCCACAGGUUGAGAACCGCUGACUUAAGGAGUGAUAGGGGCCUGUGACGCAAGCCAGAUCAGAGUUGUAGGGAUCAAGAGGAACCUGGGGUAGGUACCUUGGCUUGCUGGUGGCUUUUUCUUGCUUGCCUUUGUGUUCUGUUUAGCAGCCAGGAGGAACUCUCAGGCUACAAGCCCGCCAGAGGGGAAGGAAGAUGUUCCCUCCAACUCUGCUGGGGAGAACCCCUUGGAGGAUGGGACCUCUUGCCUCUGGCAGGCUAAGGUGAUCAGGGUUCUUCCUGGGGACCCAGCCAAGAAACGGCAGAGCCGUGAUUCACAUCUGCAGUUCUGACUCCAAGAUCAGCGGCAUUUCUGUAAUAAUAGUGAUAGUCAUUUUUAGUAUAUAAGAAGCCUAGUACAUUUUUAAAUAUGUUUGUGUUUGCCUGUAUGUAUGUAUGUAUGUGUGCCAUGUGCAUGCUGGUGCUCACAGAGGCCAGAAGAGACAGUCAAGACCCUGGGAACCAGAGUUAUAGGUGACUGUAAGCUGCCCAAUGUGGGUGCUGGAAACGGAACACCUCUCCAGCCCCCUAGUGUAGUACUGACUAGCAACCACUCGAUCGUAAUGUCCAGAGGUGGGUGGGAGCAGGUGUCUGACCCACAGGAGGGUGGGUCACUUCCGUUAACUUCCAGAGGGCGAGUGUGCACGGGCCUGGAUCCUCGGUUGCCAUUCAGUCGGUCACACUAUUACCAAGCUCUAGAUAGGGUACAGUCAUCUGUUGCUGGGUGACAGCUGCCGUUUCUCUGCUUAGGGACAACCAGGAAGGAACAUAGCUGUGCUUGGGGCUUGUGUGGAGGGAAAGCCCCUGGUGCUGGGGUGUCAUGGUCCUUGGCAGGCUGUCCCUUCUUCACUUCCAAGUAGCCCCAGAAGCACAGCCUCGGGACUAGCUGAGUUGGCCGUCAGUACAGUGAGCUGACCAUGGAUGCAUUGUUAGCUCCAGGAAGUGGUUAGCUGUUUUCCAGAAGGUCUGCAGAGCCGGACAGCCAGCCUGCCUGCCUUGGAAUUGGCGGAUGGGAGUCGAGAACACCGCUUUCCUGGAGCCCCUGGGCUCUGGGCCAGGCCCUCAGGCUUCCUUUAAAAGUGUGUGGGGGGGGGCGGCCCCGAGUGAGCGAGUGAGCCAUUCUUGCCCAGCUUGGCACAGGCCCUCUCCCCUCCUCAGUCUGCCUCAUGCCCUUCUCUCCACCCAACCGCCUCUGCAACAGAGUGCACACUCUUGGCAAUGGCGUCCACGAAGCCUGCUUUCCAGAAGAAAAGGGCUGCGCAGGCCAACUCGGCCAACACCUCAGUGGAGGAGUUACACAGCAUGGGCUCUGGCCUGGGUAGUGGGGCUAAGAGGAAGCCCCCGGUUGCCUUGUCAGACCCGAGCCACAAACCCCUGCCACAGUGGAAGCAAGAGCUCUGAGCGCAGGUCCUGGGGUCUGAUCAAGGGCAGCCUUGGGGAGGCUUGGGUCCUCUCUGGGCCUGUUGCCCAUUUGAUAGCUGCAGAGUCCUCUGUAGACUGUUUUGCAUAUAGAUCUGACACUGUUUCUGCCUUUCUUUUCCCUUGCAGGACACUUGUGCGGGAAAUGCUGGUCCCUGGGAGGGUCAUUGCACUGCCUGACCCGGAGGUGACGUCUGAGUCUUCAUACGGUGGAUGGCGUCUUCUGCUGUUGAUCCUGCAAGAUGAUCUUUCCUGACAGUUUCUUAUCUGGCCUCUGGCCCUGCCUGAACCGGGGGCUGAUGACUCUGGAUUGAGGGGCAGUCCUUGCCUCUGCCCUGGGUUCCCUGAGGUUUGGGUCACUGAAGCCCAGGGCCUAAGGAGGUAUCCUUCCCCUGGGAGUUUCAAGUUCAGACUCCCACAGCUACAGGGCUCUGCCUUAGGCCCGUGGCUUCUGCACAGCUCCUCCUUGCCCUGCCAAAUGUCUUGGGGACAGGCACCCAGCAGCUUCCGGGUCUGCCUGACUGCUGGAGAAGCAAUACUAACCUGCCAUCCUAUUUUUAUUUUUUGGUCCUAGAGUUUGAACUCAGGGCUUUAGACAUACUAGGCAAGUGCUCUAUCACUGAGGUACAUGCCCAGCCCCUUUUUUUGAGACAGAAUCUUGCUAUGUAGUCCAGCGUGGGCUUGAAUUCAUAAUCCUUUUUGCCUCCAUCUCCAGAGUGCUAGCAUUAUAGCUGUGUACCACCAUGCCCAUCUGGCUUUCCUGUUUUGACUCCUGUGUCGGGAGAGCAACCCUGGAUGGAGGUGGGGUCCAUUCCCCAGGGCUUGGCCAUUGCAGAGCUGUCUAGACAUAGGAAUGGGUAAGAGCAUGGUACACUGGAUAGGUAGAGGGAUGGGUUAGUUUUCCACGGACCUUGUUUCUGUUGAGAUAUUGUUUACUCUGUUUCCCCAGGGUUCAGGUAGGGCCAGCACCAUCCCUGGCUUUAGGGGUAGGCAUGUGUUCCAGGCCUAGACAAAGACUGCUGAGUUCCCACUCUCCCCAGUGGGACUUCAGCUGCAUCUUUUCAUGGGAGUUAAGUUGACAAGAUGUCAGCUUGGAAUUGCUGGUGACCAACUGAUGCAGCUGAGGAUGAAACCAACAAAGAAAGAAAGAAAACACAGAUUAUGCCAUGUGGACUUAUUCCUUGCUACCCAGCAAGUCCCUGAAGCCAACAGUUGGACUGACCUGAUUAUAUGAGCCAAUGUAUUUUUUCUAAAACGAACUCAUCUUGGGUUUGUGUUACAGAAGGGCUCCUAGUAUAGGUUGUGGUUUCCUACCUUCCUUCCUCAGAACAGCGUUGUUGAGCUGUUCCUUCCUUUACACGCAACAAAAUUCACCAGGGUUAAGUGUACGAUUCCUAGUUUUUUCAGGAACAACACACCCUUGUAACUGUCACCAUCAGACUGGAAUAAUUGUUACCUGCCCUAAAAGCUCCAUCGAUCCCUUGACGGUCAGCCCUCCAGCCGUGGCCCGCCACUGACCUGUUUUCCUGGUGAUUCUUGUCUUCUCCGGAUGGUCACACGGUGUCUGUUACGUGUCUAGUUUCUCUUAGUGUGUUUUCAUGAUUCAUCCUUCCAUGUGCAUCAGGAUCCAUCCACUCUGUUGUAGGCCGGGCAGCAGCAUGCCAUGUGGGUACAACCACCGUUUGUUUAACCAUCUGGCAUAUGAAGGCUGGUUCCAGAUUUUGACUGAUAUGAAUAAAGCUGUUCUGCAUGUUCA